GUGUCAGGACGGAGGCCAUCUGCUCCUGCAGAAUGCAGAGUGGGAGAAGCUGCUGGAGUUCGUUCAGGCGGCGUGUCGCUACACCAGUGAACUCCCGCAGUGGGAGACCAGCACCCAUAAUGCACUGCGAGAGCACUGCUACAACACGCUAGCAGCGUUCUGUACCGCGGCGCUGCAGAAACACAGACCCGCCGCGCGCAGAGCUCGAGAACUGCUGCGCAGGUUCAAAAUGGCUCCGGUGUCGAGGCGAGCGAUCGGCCCGUGUUUAGAAGAGCUGGAGAAGAUCCUGCAGGAAUAUCAGAGCGGAAAAUCACAAACACAAAUCCACCCGUGAGUCUUGCGUUCAGACGAGAGCGCUGCUGAUGAGUGACGUCACUGAGAUCUCACUGUGACACACGUCGAUCCAUCAGACCAUGAGACCCAUCAGAGCAUGUGACCCAUCAGAGCAUGUGAUUCACCCAUCAGAGCAUGAGACCCUCCCAUCAGAGCAUGUGAUUUGCCCAUCAGAGCAUGAGACCCAUCAGAGCAUGUGACCCACCCAUCAGAGCAUGUGAUUCGCCCAUCAGAGCAUGUGAUUCGCCCAUCAGAGCAUAUGACGCCCAUCAGAGCAUGUGACCCGCCCAUCAGAGCAUGAGACCCACCCAUCAGAGCAUGUGAAUCGCCCAUCAAAGCAUGUGAAUUGCCCAUCAGAGCAUGAGACCCACCCAUCAGAGCAUGUGAAUCGCCCAUCAGAGCAUGUGAUUUGCCCAUCAGAGCAUGAGACCCAUCAGAGCAUGUGACCCGCCCAUCAGAGCAUGUGAUUUGCCCAUCAGAGCAUGAGACCCAUCAGUGCAUGUGAAUCGCCCAUCAGAGCAUGAGACCCAUCAGAGCAUGUGAUUCGCCCAUCAGAGCAUGUGACCGUCAGGCCACACCUGCCUUACUUUAGUGAUGCAAGGACCCAUAAUUCCUUGCUGUGAUUGGACUGAUUAC